rnacentral:lncRNA from 1 species
CCACACCCACACAGGCAGCGGUGACGUUUCCCUGCCAUUGGUGGAUCUGAGCCGGCUCUCUCUGCUCUUCUGCCACCAGCCACUGCAUUUCUGGCUUGGGAUUUGGGAAGGGUCCCUACCUGCCUGCGCCCCAGGAGGAGGAUGAGGACAACCUGCUGUCCCCCGAGACCUGCUACGAGUGCAAGAUCAACGGGUACCCCAAGAGGGGCCGGCAGCGGCGCAGCGUCAACGGCACAGAGAGGCACCAGGAGCACGCUGUGAACUUGGCCAGCAUGGACGUGGACGCGCCGCUGUCCAUGACCCUGAACCUGUCGGAGCUGGCCCACAAGGAGCACAUCCUGGAGCUGCUGCCGGCCGUGGAGCCGCUGGAGAACCGCGUGCGCUACACCAUCUCCCAGGGCAACGAGGAGGGGCUGUUCCGCAUCCACCACAAGGAAGGGCUCAGCUUCCUGCACCUGGGCCGCAAGAAAAUCCUGCCGGGCACCUACCUGCUGGAGAUCGUCAGCGUGGCCCUGCCCCGCCGGCGGGAACUGCACAAACUCGAGGCCAACAACCACCUCGACUACUUGGCGGGGGAGCUGGGCCAGGCACUGAGGAUGAAGCUGCAGCUCCAGCUCUACUAAAGCCACGAGAGAAACCCCCCCAAGUCCCACCCGACAGCGCAGCCCUGCCCCUCGCCACCCACCCCGGGAACAACGGGCUCCUCUCCUGCCACCGCCGCCGGGACAGCCAUGGGAAUGUUCCUGUGGGAUCAGCCACCAGCCAUGGGGAAUGUCCCUGUGGGAUCAGCCACCACCAGGACAGCCAUGGGGAAUGUCCCUGUGGGAUCAGCCACCACCAGGACAGCCAUAGGGAAUGUCCCUGUGGGAUCAGCACCCAGCCAUGGGAAUGUCCCUGUGGGAUCAGCACCCUGGGGAUGCUCUGCUCUGGGGGUGCCUGAGCCAAGCCCAAAAGGACCAAACCUGAGCAGCAGCUCCCGGAGCUCCCAAAAGCCAAAGAUUCCAAGCUCCUGAGCAGGGCCUCCUCUCCCUCUGCUCCCACCUCUCCCCCUUAUCCAGGAUGCUCCGAGCUGGGGAUCUGCCUGUUCUCCAUGGCCACAUCCCAGGGAAGGUGAGGGGGGCUGGGGGCAGCUUUGGGGGGAGCUGUGGCUCCGUGUGGUGCCCGUGCAUUUCCUGCUCCUCCUCUGCUUCCGCAGGUUCCUGGUGCUGCAGGAACAUCCCAUCCCUGGCCUGUUGGAGCUCUGUAUCCCUGUCUUGUCCAUGGCACCUGGGCCUUCAAGGAUUCCUCUGAUCUUUUUGGGGACUCCUCUAUCAAACAGGGCAAAGGGACAGGUCAGGUUGUCCCCUCCCAUCCCAAAGCUGUGGGCAGGAGGGGAGGCAGGGACAUCCAGGAUUUCCUUUGGCACAAAAUCCUCGACUUGGGGUCACCCUGUGUGUGAUCCCCCAGCCAGGAGCACCUCUGGGAAAGGGGGGCUGGGGGUCCCUCCCCUCUGCUCGUGCCCUGCAGCCCAGUGACCCCAAGGUGGCAGCCCCGAUGGACAUUCUGUGGCACUGAAAAGAGGGUGGAAAAUCGGGAUGAAUCCGUGCUUCCCCCCAUUCCCUGUGCAGCCCCUUCCCCUCUCCCUGUCCCAGCUGAUCCCGGCAGGGCCAUUCCCUGGUUUUGUGUGAAUCCUUCCCAGUUUUCCACCAGCCCUGCUCAUUCCCCGAUAAAAAGUGCUGAUUAAUUCCUGGGACAAAAAGUGCUGAUUCCCGGGAUAAAAGGUGCUGAUUCCCGGGAUAAAAGAUGCUCAUUCUCGGGAUAAGAAAAUGCUAAUUCCUGGGAUAAAAAGGGUUUCAUUCCUGGGAUAAAAGAUGCUCAUUUCUGGGAUAAAAGGUUCUGAAUCCCGGGACAAAAAGUGCUGAUUCCCGGGAUAAAAGGUGCUCAUUCCCAGGAUAAAUGGUGCUCAUUCCCAAGAUAAAAGGUGCUCAUUCCCGGGAUAAAAGAUGCUCAUUUCCAGGAUAAAUGAUGCUCAUUCCCGGGAUAAAAGGUGCUCAUUCCCAGGAUAAAAAGUCUUUCAUUCCCAGGAUAAAAGGUGCUCAUUCCCAAGAUAAAAGGUGCUCAUUCCCGGGAUAAAAAGUGCUCAUUCCUGGGAUAAAAAGUGCUCAUUCCCGGGAUAAAAGGUGCUCAUUCCCGGGAUAAAUGAUGCUUAUUCCCGGGAUAAAAAGUCUGUCAUUCCCAGGAUAAAAGGUGCUCAUUCCCACGGAACUGCCUCAUCCCCAGGCCCGAGGAGCUCCAGCUCCUGGGAGCUGGUGCUGGUUCCUGGCCAGCGUUCUGCACUGUGUCCAUCCACCCUCCCAUAUUUAUGGAAAACCACCAAAGGAAUGCUCGCUCGGUGCUGUCAGGAGUGCAUUUUCCUGUAGCUUUACAUUUUUUUUUGAGGGGUGGGAAUUUCUCCUGGUUCGGGGUGGGGGAUGUGUGUGUUUACUGUAUCGGGGCUCCAGGUAAACUUGAAAACUCUUCAAAGCAGCUCCAGACUCUGGAUUUUACAAGAGUCCCAGAGCUUGUGACAGGAUGGGUGGCCUGAUGUUUGGGAUUGGUUUGGUUUUUUUUGUUUGGUUGGUUUUUUGGGUUUUUUUUUAAUUAUUAUUUUUGGUUUUUUGUUUUUUGUUUUUUUUUUACAACAGGUGCUUUUUAAAAAAACCAACAAAAUCCAAAAAGUAUUAUUAAUAAUAAUAAAUUAGCAGAGCUGGGUUUGUGUGCGUGUGUU